rnacentral:rRNA from 1 species
UUGCAGGCUGCAACUCGCCUGCAUGAAGUUGGAAUUGCUAGUAAUCGCGAAUCAGAAUGUCGCGGUGAAUACGUUCCCGGGCCUUGUACACACCGCCCGUCAAGCCAUGGAAGCCGGGAGUGCCUGAAGUGCGUGAGCGCAAGCAGCGCCCUAAGGUAAAACCGGUGACUGGGGCUAAGUCGUAACAAGGUAGC